ACGAUUCAGUAUUGAGAACAUGUCAUUUACUGUUGAUCAGCACAAAAGCCACAUAUAUUAAUUAGAUUCAUUCAAUCAUUCAAUAUGAGACGAGAUAGCACACUAAUUGAGGACAAUUGUGAAAUACAUUUUCUUUUUUAUUCUGGAUUAUUUUAAGUAGAAUAAGGCCAUAGGCGGAAAUCCCAGGGGGGACGGGGGGGACACGACCCCCCCAUCUUGGGAAAAAUAUGAUUUGUCCCCCCCAAUAUAUCACUGUAAACAUAACUAUGUAAUUUCAAUAAUAUUAAUAAUACGCAAUGAAAGCACUUGUGCUGAUUAUAGACACUUAAUAGCGCAUUUAAAUUUCAAAAGAUUGCGACCCCCCCCGCCCUUUGCCUCACAAUGGUUUGAUGCACUGCCAGUUCUUUAGCUGGCAAGGUAAUAGAGAGUUCGUAUCUACUGUCCGAAAGGGACAUGUACGUAACUGACGCGAGGUUAAUCCAGUCAAUCCAUAGCAGGUUCAUAGCAAUGAUAUUUAUUUAUUUUUAUGUUGGCAGGGUUCACACACUAGGGGAAUUUGCAGAGCUAGCGCGCAAACUAAAGCAAACAUUAACUAUCAAGCUAGCUAGUACCUAUUCCAUUUAUGUGGCGUCGUCAAAGAUGGAAUCUUUGCUAUCGUCAGUUUAUUCCAAGAUCAGCAUGCAGCUGUAGUGCUUCGACGUCCCUGUGAUAAGCUAGGCCAGCCAGCCAGCCAGGUAGAAAAAUGGCAGAAAAAAGUAAGAAGACGGACAUCAGAGUAUUUGUCAGUACACCAAAACGCAUAGCAGAGCAGGCAACAGAUGGCACACAGACAGCAGAGCUGGGGACAGACUGGCAGAGACAGGGAGUCUCAGGUAAGUUUGUUGAGUCUUUGUUUGGCAACAUUAUGAAAGGUUCUCAAUUUUUUUGACUUGGAAAAUAGGGACAUAAUUGGAAAAUGCCAUGGAUACCCCCACUCUCAACUUAAACUGGUGACUAAACUAAGAUUUGUUUACGGCAAUGGUAUUGCUGUUGUGAUUAAUUGUGUAGUUUUGGUUACCGGUAGUUAGGAGUACGGCAAACACCUUAUUUAUUUUCUAGGAGACCGGCUGAGUCAGUUAGGGGGGGUGAAAGGGAAAGAGCCAGGAAGAGAGACUUCAGAGGACAGUGUCACAGCCACGGCAGGACCAAGUGUCACCCUUGUUGCCAGCAGCACCAGUAUAGGGGACAGUGGCACAGCAUUGUCCAGUUACCACAGUGAUGGCACAAAACCAUAUCAGCCACACCCACAAUUUAUAGAACCGCAAACUCUUGCCAACAGAGUGUUGACGUUUCAAGAGAGAUGGUUUCGCGAUUUCCCCUGGCUACAUUAUAAUCCAUCAAUAAAAGGAGUGUUGUGUUUUCACUGUAGCCAAGGGUUUUCAAGCCAGCCAUCUUUUGGCCAAAGAGCUGAUGCUGCCUUCAUUAGUGCAGGAUUUAGGAACUGGAGAAAAGGCAUUGAAAAAUUCACAGCACAUCAAAAUUGCCAAACCCACUGCCACUUUGUAAUUGUAACAGCACACCAGCUAAAUCCAAUCAGUGUCCAGCGCGUGGGUUAAACAGCUGGAUGACGCAAGGCAUUGCUUGAUGAAAAUUGUUAGUUCGGUGCGGCAUGUAGUAAGACAGGGACAAGCCUUUAGAGGCCACACGGAUGACAGUGGGAAUUUAUACCAGAUUUUGAAACUUAGGGCAGAAGAGGAUGAUCCCAUUUUACUGAAGUGGUUAACAGAGCGUACCACAAUGUACACAGGCCCCAAAGCACAGAAUGAAAUUCUGAACAUCAUGGCCAAUAGUCAUUCGAGGCAUUGCAGCUGAGAUUAGGUCUCUUCCGAUUGUACAAUUUUCAUUAAUUGUUGAUGGUACUCAAGAUGUCUCUGGUGCUGAACAGGAGAGUGUCUGUCUGCGUUAUGUUGACCAUGACCAUGUCCCUCACAAGGAGUUUAUUGGGCUAUACAGUGUGUCGGAGACAACAGGCGAGGGCAUUGCGAAAGUGCCAACUGAUGUGUUGUUGAGGAAACCCGCAAACAUAUGCUCGGUUCUUUUGUUCAGUAGUGUGUAUAGCAGUGGUUCUCAACCUUUUUGGGGUACUGGAACCCCUGCAUAUUUUGAGGCAAGGCAGGCAAGGUUUUGAGCAGUCCUCAGGGACCUCCACCCCCUCUAUAUUAUAUGUAAACUUACUGGAAACCUUGUGGUACUGACUACAUUCAUUACACUUUUUUAUUUCACGGACCCCUUGCAAUUAGUCCAUGGACCCCUGUUUGAGAACCCCUGGUGUAAUUGAUAUUUGUUCUUUUGUUUAGUAGUUUUCAGGACACUUACAAAUGAUUUAUUUCAUGUUAUUUUAUUUAAAAUGGCCUACUUUGUGCGACAUACUUGUCCAUAGCUGCUGUUUGAAGAGUUGAGACACUGGCUGAGUUGAGACACUGGCUGAGUUGAGACACUGGCUGAGUUGAGACACUGGCUGAGUUGAGACACUGGCUGAGUUGAGACACUGGCUGAGUUGAGACACUGGCUGAGUUGAGACACUGAAGGAUAUUUUGUUUGAUUUAUUUGGGUUUUUCAUUGAAGUAGUUAUUUUGCUUUUAGAACUACUUAUUUUAAGCUUUUUGUUCUUGCAAAGAUAUUGUAGACUCAGGCCAGGUGGACAUAUUUAAUGACUAUAUAAAUGUAUCAGAAAAUGUCCAAUUAAAAGGUCAAUUCAAUACGGAGACCAACUUUGUGAUGGUUCUCAAUGGAAAUUCUUUUAGAUGUGAUCACACCAUGUUCAUUGUAUUUAUGAAAACUACACCCAUACAGUGUACAGUACCAUUGUCACCUACUGACCUUUCUUGAUAUUGCUGGUUGUAAGUACGAAUACCUGCAUACAUACUGGACUGGUAAGGAGCACUGCUAUAACUAUUAUUAGUAGUAGAAUUAUAAUGAUUUAAACAUUUGAACAAGUUGGGAAAACCCUUCAGUUAACUACUGUACCUAUCAAUUAUCCAGUUGUAGGAAUUAUGGUUCCUCAAUAUACAUUUAACAACGUAUGCUAUGUGUUACAGCACUACUUUUGGUGUCCCCCUCAGGAAUUGCUCUUGAGAAAAUUUAAUGUAAUUGUCCCCUCCAAGGUUGAUCUCAGAUUUUCGCCCCUGAAUAAGGCUACACCUGCAGGUGAAACCGCCUCAAAGGGUAUGAUGAAUCAAAAUGUCAGUUUACCUGUUUGAGAUCGCAUUACUGCAAAUCUGUUACCUUCGCCGUGGCUGUGGAGUGGGUAGAGUUACGGGAUGUAAAAUCAUAUUGUAAUAUAUUAGCCAAUAAUGAGGUUAAAUUGUUUUACAACAUGUAAUUAAACUGUAAUGUUAGAAUAUAAACAGCUCUUUUAUGAAUGAUAGAAAAUUCCUAUUUUAUGAAUUUCACAUUAGAAAAUACAUACACUAAUUUUCCCAUUCAUCUAUGUAAUAUUCACCAUAUCCAUAAGAUCACAAUCGGUCUUACAGUGCAUCAAUUAUUUCAUUUCUAUGUUUAUGUUAUACUUACAAUAUUUGAGGGUCAUAAAUUUGAUUCUCUUCAUGUAUUAUUUCUACAGAUGAGGAAAAGCGGGACAAUUGUAUUUAAUGGCACAUACACUACACUGACUGAUUCUGUACAAUUAUUUCACAAAUCAAAGUGGAAAACUAAAGAAUUAAGUAUAUUGAUUUAGCUUUAGUGCUACAUGACAAAUUUAUUUCAUGACAUUGUACAGGUUGAUUAGUGUAACAUGUAAUACAUAUGUAAUACAUUUCAUAAUAUUUAAUACAGUGCUACUCACUGGUUUUCCUCCUGCACCACAGGCAGAAAGCGGAGAAAACACUGAGCGAUGCCACAGACACAAUGGUGUUGGCCAAACUUGUUCCUUAUUCAGCUGUAACGGCACAAAUCUCCUGCUCACCCAAGGUUGUCUUAAAAAGAAUGUAGAAAACCCCUCACAUGGUAUAAAUUGCUGUGUUCCUUGUGUUCCUGUAAAGAACCUAAGCCUACAGAUAACCACAGCACUAUAGCCAAAUGCCAUUGUGUCAAGUCUUGACAGUUUUCAAGAAAAGGUUAUGAUGGUAUUAUAUUCAAUACACACCCCUGUUAGUUCAGUGAUACAGUAUCUGCAUCAGAAGAUAAGAACACUACCAGCUUUAAAACAUUUAGGCUUAUGUAUACAGUUAAACAGAAAUAGUUACAUUGUUUUAAUUGCACUAAACUUUAACAUCAUACUCUUUUUCACACAUUCACCUGAACAUCAUCCAUGAUUGCUGGUUAAUCUUUUGGACAUUUCAAAACAGACUUCUGAAGUGGUACAAAGUGGUACGUUAUUGAAAGCUAUGAAUAUAAUCAAAUCAAUCUUCACCUUAGUGUGAGGAUGAAAAUAACACAAAAUAAUAAGUCUAAAAUUGAACCACUUCAAAUAGUCUAUCUUUCCCCAACUAAGCUGCUCCUACAGUCUUAAACAUGAGACAAUAGAAGUACAUGUAUUGUGUUGUUCUCACCUUCAGUAAAGCCUCUUCAGGCCACCUCCAUUUCACUGACAGCUCCACUUAUAGACAGGCUGCUGUGACAGAGCUGUUAAGGGGGAGAGUAGAACGAGCUUCCUGUUUCUAACUGAACUCCACACCACAUCCGUCCUGAUCAGCAGGCUGGACAGAGAGUCUGGUGGACAACCUCUGAAGGGUGCCCUACAUCACUGUAGUUCAAUGAAGGUGCGAGAAAUGACACCGUUCAGCGAGGUGCUUUAGUGACAGUGCCCUGAUGCACAUAGAACAUGGUUUUUAAAUGGACUUUGGAAUUUGCUUUGUCGUAACUGUGGAAAUAUUUCAGUGCUCUUCACUACAGGUCCUAGGGGUCCUCACAUUGCAGGUGCUGUAGUGUGGCCCUCUGGGACCAGGGAUGAAAAACACUAUGCAUUGCAAUACAGCUUGAAGUAAAAAGUAUGUUCUUCAUGGAAACAAUGCUAAUGACUGUGGCAGAAAAACACUUGUCGCUGUAGUUUAUGAAGACGUCUGUGGAGAAAACAUCCAGUUAUAAAGAGAAAUGUUUCCAAACAGAUGCACUUAUUAUGUGAUUAGGUUACUACCAAUGAUGUAUAUAAACCCUGGAUUGCUGAUUAUAUGUAUUGGCCAAUGAGAAGCUUUGAAGCCACUAGUCGCCAUAUUGGUACUACUCAGAAGGAGCAGUCCUCAAUAGGAAUGAAUGUAAUUCUACAGUAUUUCAAUAAAAUGUUUCAAGGACAAAAUUACAUGUAAUUAACUUUUUCUUUGUUGUAGUGGGGACAGUAACAUUCAGGGCCAGAUUAAUGUAGGGGUAUACAGGCGCACAAAAAACAGUAAGUCGCUCUAAGAGCUUCUGUUAAAUAGCUAGAAUGUUAAAUAAAUGCAUUUUUCAAUGUACUUUGUGUACAAUACAGAACACAUUUAUUGUGUACAACAUGACAAUACACUUAUUGUAUGUACAAUGUAAUCUGAGUAGAAAAGUGGCUGCGCAGUGGCUCCAAAACAGCGCCCCCUGGCAGUCAUCUAGGGUACAUUGACAUCAUUGGUUAUUACAGAGGUGUAAACCAGCUGGCAUAGCCUACCGCCUGUUUGUAGUCCUAGAAACUGGAACUGAUUUAUUUACAUAUGAUUCAUUCAGCCAUUCCUUUGGAGAAAAUUAAUAGGUAAAGAAUAAGGUUUUGGGAUAAACGCCGAAAAUAAGGUCUGAGGUUAAAACAAGCUAAGUUUUGCUCUAUAAUAUAAUAUCAGUCAAUUAACAUGACCUUUAUGAAUUAUGAAGCCUUUGUGCUUUUUCUUUACUCUGCCUAUAUAAAUAAUUCAAAAUUCACAAAAAGUUGACGUUAGCUGAGGAAGAUUAUCUCAUAGAACAAAACGUAUAAAAAAUUCUAAGCCUGGGUUUACCACAUACCUUAUUUUCAGUGUUUAUCCAAAAACCCU